CCGCAGCACCCUGAAGUAUGAGUCCUUUUCCGUCUGACCACUGCUCCAGUUGACUCACCUUUUCCUCCAGCUGCACCAUCAUGCUGCCUGGGGCAGAACAGCACAAUACAACCUUUAUUGCACAAGUCAGUUCAUUUUACAGAGAAAAGGCUCCGAUACCUGGCCCAGCUCCCCCUCAGCAAAUGAUGCCUCGCUGCACAGAUGACCAUGAUCCUUCAGCACGGACAAGGAGGGUCUCACAAAUCUUCAUUCGUGGAAUACAUGGAGAGUAACGAAAAGGAAGGUUGAAGACUGUCCAAGUCCAUCUCCAGACUUAAACCAUGUAGAGUAUGCAUUUUACCUGCUAAUCAUGAGACACAAGG